rnacentral:rRNA from 1 species
AGAGUUUGAUCCUGGCUCAGGACGAACGCUGGCGGCGUGCCUAACACAUGCAAGUCGAGCGGAGACAGGGAGUAGCUUGCUAUGAGCUGUUUUAGCGGCGGACGGGUGAGUAACGCGUGAGCAACCUUUCCCAGACAGGGGAAUAACACACCGAAAGGUGUACUAAUACCGCAUAAGACCACGGAAUCACAUGGUUCUGAGGUAAAAGAAUUAUCGGUUUGGGGUGGGCUCGCGUCCGAUUAGGUAGUUGGUGAGGUAACGGCCCACCAAGCCGACGAUCGGUAGCCGACCUGAGAGGGUGAUCGGCCACAUUGGGACUGAGACACGGCCCAAACUCCUACGGGAGGCAGCAGUGGGGAAUAUUGGGCAAUGGGGGAAACCCUGACCCAGCAACGCCGCGUGGAGGAAGAAGGUUUUCGGAUCGUAAACUCCUGUCCUUGGAGACGAGUAGAAGACGGUAUCCAAGGAGGAAGCCCCGGCUAACUACGUGCCAGCAGCCGCGGUAAUACGUAGGGGGCAAGCGUUGUCCGGAAUAAUUGGGCGUAAAGGGCGCGUAGGCGGCUCGGUAAGUCUGGAGUGAAAGUCCUGCUUUUAAGGUGGGAAUUGCUUUGGAUACUGUCGGGCUUGAGUGCAGGAGAGGUUAGUGGAAUUCCCAGUGUAGCGGUGAAAUGCGUAGAGAUUGGGAGGAACACCAGUGGCGAAGGCGACUAACUGGACUGUAACUGACGCUGAGGCGCGAAAGUGUGGGGAGCAAACAGGAUUAGAUACCCUGGUAGUCCACACUGUAAACGAUGAAUGCUAGGUGUAGGGGGUAUCGACCCCUUCUGUGCCGCAGUCAACACAAUAAGCAUUCCGCCUGGGGAGUACGGCCGCAAGGUUGAAACUCAAAGGAAUUGACGGGGGCCCGCAC